rnacentral:lncRNA from 1 species
CUGUUUUUCUUCUAUUAUCAUGAAAAGCUUGGAGUCGAUGAUCUCAGGUGUUUCUAGCUCCACAAUUCUGGGAUUCUGUGUGAUGAAGAGGUCACUAGCAGUCACUUCCAUAUGUGGACCUAGAGCAUCGGUCAGCUUCCUGGUGAAGGCAGAGAGCCACAGUUCCAGAACACUCAAGAGCCAGCGAUUAUUUUCAAGCUGGAAACACUGGUAUAGGCUCCCAAGAAGCUCAUAGGGCCUAGGCCCUGUGCCCACAGGCCUGGAGGAUCAGCAACCCCGUGAGAAGGUUUUAUGGGAGGUACUUGUGUCUGUGGGCACUGACUGGUUCCUUUAUCUCAAUUCCCCAUACCUCCCCACCCAUGGUCACUGUUCAUUGGUUGUUUCCUCCUCCCACUUCCAUAACAGUGAAGAGCUUGUGUUGUUCACUGCUGCAUCCCUAGCCCAGAAGAGCAUCAGGCCCAUCACAGAUACUCGACAUAAGUAUUUGUUGAAUGCACGGUCACCUCUGGGAACGGGAUUCGGUGGUGGACAAAUAGGGCUCCAGAUGUAUUUCUAUUGUUCGAAUGAUGUAUAAUGAGA